UUAAACGGCGUUAAGCCAAACCGACGCAGUUGUCUGGUCAUCACACGGAGCCACCAUUAUUGCAGUCCCGUCAUUGUGAAGAAAAAAAUAAUUCGUGCAUUUUUUUACGUUUUUCUAAAAAUCUUUUUUGUUCAAUUUUUUUCGUUUAUUUUCUUAUAAGAAAAGCAUAAAAACAAACCAUAAAACCCACCUAAGUUUCUAAAACAAAGCACAAUAAUCUGCUAAAAGCACAAAAACACUAAAAAAUGGAUCCUUCUAAUGAUUUCCCCGUUACACCUGGCUCCUCAGGAAAUAAUGAUUUUCCCGUUUUACCACCACCACCAUCUGCCUCGAAUCCAUCAUCAUUUCCCAGCAAUAAUAAUCAACAGAAUCAAGCCAAUAAACGUUUGCAGCAGACACAAGCCAAAGUCGAUGAAGUUGUCGGCAUUAUGCGUGUAAAUGUUGAAAAAGUAUUAGAACGUGAUCAGAAAUUAACCGAAUUGGGUGAAAGAGCCGAUGCCUUAGAGCAGGGUGCCUCACAAUUUGAACAACAGGCUGGUAAAUUGAAACGUAAACAAUGGUGGGCCAAUAUGAAAAUGAUGAUCAUAAUGGGUGUUAUUGGUGUUGUUCUUUUGAUAAUCAUAAUUGUAAGUCUAUUUUAUUAAAGUUUUAAAGAUAUAGAAGAGAGGCGUUUAUUUUUCUUAAGUUAAAAAAAACAAAUAUAAAUAAAAUACCAACACAUAGAUAAAACAUUCCUUCCUUUCACUACAAUACCAACAAUUUCCCUUAUGCCUUCUGGCGGCGGCAGUAGCUCCGAAAGCUUACCAGCUCCACCGGUGACUCAAGCUCCCCAUUAAGAAAACUGUUGAAAACCAACUAAGUGAAUAUAAAAAUAACAAUAACAGAAAGAAAUGUAUAUAAUACAGAGCUAUACACUAUUUUUAUACACAAAAUUUAAGAAAACAAAAAAACCUGGAGCCUUACAACUAUAUACAAAAUUUAAAAAAAAAACAUAUUAACUGAAACUAAAUUAAAACUAUUUAAGUAUUAAAUGGUUAAAGGUUGCACAAAACCCUCCCAGAUAAAACAAGUAACAACCACCUUUUUUUACAAUUUUCUGCAAGAAAGUAACAAAAAUUUUGAAACAAUUUUAUACAGUUAUUGUAUACUAAAGAAAAAUGAAAAAAAAAAAGAAAAUUUUAUAUAAAUAUUUAUCCAUAUACAAAGCAAAACUUAUAAAUCUUAUGUGAGUGUGUGUUAAAUUAUAAUAUUAAUAAAAAAACAAUAAAUACUUUACAUAAAAUAA